GACAGAGGGUGCAAACGUUGUUCGGAAUUACUGGGCGUAAAGCGCGUGUAGGCGGCCCUGCAAGUCGGAUGUGAAAUCCCACGGCUCAACCGUGGAAGUGCAUUCGAAACUGCAGGGCUAGAGUCCUGGAGAGGAAGGUGGAAUGCUUGGUGUAGAGGUGAAAUUCGUAGACAUCAAGCGGAACACCGGUGGCGAAGGCGGCCUUCUGGACAGUGACUGACGCUGAGACGCGAAAGCGUGGGGAGCAAACAGG
rnacentral:rRNA from 1 species